rnacentral:rRNA from 1 species
GACGUAGGGCGCGAGCGUUGUCCGGAUUUAUUGGGCGUAAAGAGCUCGUAGGCGGCUCGUUGCGUCGGCUGUGAAAACCCGCAGCUCAACUGUGGGCUUGCAGCUGAUACGGGCGGGCUGGGAUUCGGUAGGGGAGACUGGAACUCCUGGUGUAGCGGUGAAAUGCGCAGAUAUCAGGAGGAACACCGGUGGCGAAGGCGGGUCUCUGGGCCGAUAUCGACGCUGAGGAGCGAAAGCGUGGGGAGCGAACAGG